UGUGGAUUCUAGUAUCCGCUAAAGAAUUAAGGUAAUUUCUUGAAUUAAAGAUAGAAGCUACCAAUUCAUAUUAAAUAGUGAGAAAAAUCUUAGAUUAAAGUCCAUAUUUUUAGGCUAAAUCAAUUCAUAAACUGAUUAGGUUUUGGUUUUUUUUGUGCAGUUAUGGCCACCAAUUUGUCGCUCCGAUCACUAUUGGAUAGUAAAAAAUUAAUGGGAUCCAAUUUCGAUAGCUGGUAUUAAAAAUUAAAAAUUAUUUUGGAGCAUGAGCAGAUCUUGUAUGUCCUUAUAGAUCCGACACCUAAGGAGCCUGCUUCGA
rnacentral:lncRNA from 1 species